CAGGGAAUAUUGCGCAAUGGACGGAAGUCUGACGCAGCGACGCCGCGUGGAUGAUGAAGGCCUUCGGGUUGUAAAAUCCUUUUCAGGGGGAAGAGUGAGGACGGUACCCCUGGAAUAAGCGUCGGCUAACUACGUGCCAGCAGCCGCGGUAAGACGUAGGACGCGAGCGUUAUCCGGAUUUACUGGGCGUAAAGCGUCUGUAGGCGGAAGUGUAAGUUGGACGUGAAAGCUCCGGGCUCAACUCGGAGAGGCCGUUCAAUACUGCACAACUAGAGGCCAUCAGAGGGGCGUGGAAUUUCCGGUGUAGCGGUAAAAUGCGCAGAUAUCGGAAGGAACACCAGUGGCGAAGGCGGCGCCCUGGGGUGGGCCUGACGCUAAGAGACGAAAGCUAGGGGAGCGAACAG
rnacentral:rRNA from 1 species